rnacentral:rRNA from 1 species
AUUGAACGCUGGCGGCAUGCCUUACACAUGCAAGUCGAACGGCAGCACGGGAGCAAUCCUGGUGGCGAGUGGCGAACGGGUGAGUAAUAUAUCGGAACGUGCCCAGUCGUGGGGAUAACGUAGCGAAAGCUACGCUAAUACCGCAUACGAUCUAUGGAUGAAAGCGGGGGAUCGCAAGACCUCGCGCGAUUGGAGCGGCCGAUAUCAGAUUAGGUAGUUGGUGAGGUAAAGGCUCGCCAAGCCGACGAUCUGUAGCUGGUCUGAGAGGACGACCAGCCACACUGGGACUGAGACACGGCCCAGACUCCUACGGAGGCAGCAGUGGGAAUUUUGGACAAUGGGCGCAAGCCUGAUCAGCAAUGCCGCGUGCAGGAUGAAGGCCUU